CCAGACUCCUACGGGAGGCAGCAGUGGGGAAUAUUGCACAAUGGGGGAAACCCUGAUGCAGCGACGCCGCGUGAGUGAAGAAGUAUUUCGGUAUGUAAAGCUCUAUCAGCAGGGAAGAAAAUGACGGUACCUGACUAAGAAGCCCCGGCUAACUACGUGCCAGCAGCCGCGGUAAUACGUAGGGGGCAAGCGUUAUCCGGAUUUACUGGGUAUAAAGGGAGCGUAGGCGGCAAGGUAAGCCAGAAGUGAAAGCCCGCGGCUCAACAGCGGGACUGCUUUUAGAACUAUCUAGCUAGAUUGCAGGAGAGGUAAGUGGAAUUCCUAGUGUAGCGGUGAAAUGCUUAGAUAUUAGGAGGAACACCAGUGGCGAGGG
rnacentral:rRNA from 1 species